GGGUUUUGGGGGUCUGACGUGGCUGUGUCCCCAGGCUGGAUCUCUAAAGUUGGUCACGCGUAUACAUGUCCCACGUCCUCCUCUGCCUGGGCUCUGUUUAAGCCAAGGGAUGCAGAGCCCACGAAGGCCUGGCCGCUGUCCUCAAGGGGCCCACCGUCUGGUGAUGAAGCCAGACCCAAAACAGGACGGCACAGAGCAACGCCGAAGGUGCCAGGAUGGAGGCUUCCCCAGUACAAAGCACAACAGCAGCAAAGGGCCUCCUUCACCUGUUGGCAGAGGCUUCCUGGUUCUCAGUUUUCAUGUCUCUCCUUGCCGCCCUUGACCUAAGACAGAGCCCUCAACCUCCAUGAGGAAUAAAUCCGCAUACCUGUUUGUUUCUACCCCA